UGGCAGGGCUGUGACUGCACAGGACUCCCAGCUGCGCAGUCUGGCCCCAUGGCCUGCAAGGCAACAUACAGCAACGUCGACCUUGUUGAACCAGGACAGGAGGACCCAUGGGGUUCUGAGCCAAGGGCGAAGGCAGCUGUCAGCGAUGUGUACACCGAAGAGGAGAGCCAAUAUGAGGCUGUUGACCCGGCUGUUGGAGCAAGGAGGAGGCAGAUGGAGCAGCAGGAUGCUCGGGCUCCAGAGUGGGAGUGGAGACGGGGCCAGAGGUGGAUUUUGGCCUGCGCGACUGUCCUGGGAGUCUCUGUGCUGCUGAACCUGCUGCUCCUCACACUUGGUGUUGUCCGAUACAUGGACAUGGCCAGUGCCCUUGAGAGAAUGCAAGUGGAGAACCAGCUGCUCCGGGAUGUGGCCUCCGGUUCCUUCCUGAUCUACAGUGAGUCACACCAGCUGUGCGUGGAUGUGACAGCUGGUGGCUCCCUGACAGCCACGCCCUGCACCCCUGGCGCCCUCAGCCAGCACUUCCAGUGGCUGUCUCAGGGCCAGCUGCUGAGCGUGGCCCACCAGCAGUGUGUAGCUGUGCCAAAGCGGCUCAGCCGGGUGGCCGUGCGCCUGGAGCCCUGCAAGGCGCACAGAGAGCUGCAGCACUGGGAGUGCCGGGCAAACGGACUGCUGGCCCUCGCCAGGGAGAACCUCUACUUCAACUAUGGCAACAAUCAGAAUCACGUGGUGAUGCUGUACUCAGGGGUUGGGCCCUGGAGCCGUUGGGUCAUCUAUGGGAGCCAUGAGGACCUCUGCUCCUGCUCCUGUCAUGUCUGCACCCCAUGUCGCAGGGGGUGGACUUUCUUCCAGGACAGUUGCUACUUCCACUCCCGCUCCCUGGGUACCUGGGAUGUUGCCAACCGCUCCUGUGCCUCUCUAGGUGCCCUGCUCCUCCAGGUGACCAGUCUUGCUGAGCAGGCUCACAUCAUGGCGUCCAUGAAAGCACCAUCCUCCUGGAUGGGCCUCACUGACCAGGCACUCGAGGGGGCUUGGAUGUGGAUGGACGGGACUCACUCAGCAGCCAAUGCCAGCUAUUGGCAGACAGGGGAGCCCAAUGGCAGGCAGAAGGAGAACUGUGCCCUGGUACGGCAGGAUGGGCACUGGUAUGACGCCCCAUGCACGGAGCAGCACCACUGGGUGUGUGAAGGGGAGCCCUGAGCCUGCUUGGACUAGCCACCGAGCAACCUGGCGAGGCCCUGGCCCUCCCUUUGCCCCUGCCCCACCCCUCUGCCCCCCCACUGUGACCUAAGUCCUCUUGAUGCCAACUAGCAGAGGGCACAGUGGUACUAGGGGUACAGAUCUCCUCUGAGUUCACUAAAAGAGGUCAUGUGAUGUCUGUAAUGAAACCCUGUGUCAUUCCAGUACAGUUAAUCAUUGCAAGCUAUAUGGACUAGUGAUAUUUAAGGAGUUGUGUAUCUGCACAAAUAUUAUGUUCUCAAGGUCUGUGUCUGUCUAGGUACUGGCCAUUAGCAAAGGGGAAAAGCAGGUUUUCUUUCAUGCAAGAAAUGUUGAUCUCUCUGCCUGUUUGCAUGUAAAUCAACUACUGUAUGGUUCACGAUGGGUAUCCACUCAGAAGUCUGAGCUGAAUGCUAAUGAAGAAUUGUGGAAUCUUCAAAGAGAGGAAAUUAACAGGAAGAGUUACACAGCAGGAGUGAUAAGAACAUAAGACCAACCAUACUGGAUCAGAUCAAUGGUGUAUCUAGCCUAGUAUCCCGUCUUCCGACUGGUCUAUGCCAGGUGCUUCAGAGGGAAUAAACAGAACAGACCUAAAGUGCUAUGUGUUCAGCAGAGCGGGUUCCAAGGUUGAACGAGGAAGUUGGGGGACCCUGUUCCUUUGGAAGCAGCAGGCCUGAGAAUUCUUUAGCAGGACACAGUUAAAUUCCUGUUCGACUGUCUUGGAAGCCAGAGCUUCUCUGUGAUAACACACUGUAUGAAAACAACAUUUGGCACCACUUCAAGAACUUUUGCUUUCAGUCCAAUUUUUUUCUCCAUCAUAGGACCGGCCCAAUCUUUACAUACACAGCAUGACCACUCCAACCCUUCUUCCUGCAUGAAGUUGUCAAGACUGCAAAAUAUUUCUUGUCCUGUUGUCUUUACUUGAAGUGAAUUGCAAAAUAAUAAAUCUUCUUGUAGCUUCCUGUCAUAGCAGUAUCUCACAUACACAAGUAGCUGAGCUGAAUUAGAUAUGUCUCUAGACUCAUUGUGUUGCAAGGUGUAUUUGGGACUAUAUUUAGCACGUUUGAUCAGCUGAACCUUUAUGUCGCUGGCAAUUUCAUCAAUGUGCUGUGCAACUGUUUCAUUGGACAAGUGGAGCUGCAAAUUUUUCACCAUGCAUAAUGCAACACAUUGUGACUGUGGCAGGAAGAAUGAGCAUUUUGCCCACUGUGUAUGGCUUUUUACAUUUAGCAAUUAGGUAGGGAACUUUGUAGGAAGCCAUUAGUGCUUUUGAUGGGGUUACUGUUUGUUUGUUCAUAAUAUCCCUUUCACCUUUAAAUUUUUGUUCUUUCCCCUGAAAACACUCUGCUGGCUUAUCAGCAUGCAUGGCAUGUUUCGGCUGCAGAUGCCUCUUCAGUUUUAUGGGUUUUAAGCUAUCUUGUGCAAGCCCUUCUGAGCAUAAAACACACUGUGGGUGCUCCACUUUUUCAAUCAUCAAGUAGGUGAAUCUGUAUUGUAUGUAUUCCUCUUGAUAUUUCCUCCAUUUGACUUUAUGCUGUGUCACGGCCUUAUCUGUACUACACUUCGCUGUUUGUGUGGCUUACUUCUCAAGAUCUCAGCUGGCACAGCGGUGCUUCACUUGAAUCAGUUUUGGCUUCUUUGUUUUUCACCUGAGGUGCAUGAAUGAGCCAAUGAGCAAUUGUAAGAUGAGCGAAAGCAAAAUUGCGAUUGUGGUCGAUGCUUACAAUUACAUGUGCACACUGUGUCAUAGCAGACAGAUUAACAUACAGAUGACAGUGACUUUGUAUGCUGCUAUGCAAGCUUAACAGAAAUCCGUCAAAAUGCAUAGCACCACUUAGAGCAGCGUUUCUCAAACUGGGGGUCCUGACCCAAAAAGGGGUUGCCAGCCAGUUGUAGGAGGGUCGUGAUAUUGCCACCCUUACUUCUGAGCUGCCUUCAGAGCUGGGUGGCCAGAGACUGUGUUAUCCGAUCCCACACAGAACAGUGCACCUUAUCCCCCAAUGGCAUAGACUGUGUUCCUUGGGCAAGCAGGUCUUCUUUAGAAGCAGACCGAUUAGGAAGAGCAGCUCAGGAUGAAUUGUGGCAUUGGCAAAAUUAUUAGGCUUGAGACAGAAGGGGGGGCUCCUAAGCUGGUUCCUUGUUUCCCCGGUAGUAUUCUCCCUUCCGCAAUAGAGCAUCAGCUUCCCCGUUUCAUUUUUCUGGGCAGUAGGUGAUUGCAACUUGAACCAUGAAAAGAACAAGGCCCACCUUAACUGCCUCAGGUUCAAUGCUCAGGCCUUACAGAGGUACUCAAAGUUCUUAUGAUUGGUGAACACCUGUACCAGGUGCCAAGCUCCCUCAAGGUGGUGAUGCCAUUCUUCAAAUGCACUUUUUAAUGUGAGCAGCUAUUUCAUAGUUCAUUUUGGUUGGGGUAACUUGGAGAGUAGAAUGCACAGGGAUGCAGAACUGACUGAUGUCUCAGUCGCUACCCCAAGGGCCACAUUGGACACAUUUGAUUGCACUAUAAAUAGGCGAGGUGUAUUGCUGAAUGAAGCCCUUGGUGAGGUUUUCCUGGAUAUACACAUGUAAUGCCUCCAGUUCUGGUUCAGACAUGGUGUAUAUCCAUCCGUAGGACACCUUUGCUCUGGGUUGUAGGUCUAUUGGACAACUUUAGUCCCUGUGUGGGGGUAAUGAAUCCGUGUUUUUCUUUCCAGAUACAUCCAGGUAGUCUCAGUACUUGUCAGGAGGACUGAAGUUCUGGCCUGGAGCCCCUCCUGACUGGUUAGCCCCUACCAUCUGGGGUUUCACUUCCCAGGGUCUUUUCCAAUCCUGGGGUCCUGGAUGUAGGCCACUUGGGGCUUGGUCACGUUGUUGAAGGCAUGCUUUCUGAUAGAAUUCAGAGCAGAAGCUAAUGCUUCUCUGCUACCAGGAGUCACGUUGCCCCAACCAAGAAAUGCCAGGAAUGAUCAGGAAGAAUGGAGAGUGGAUCAUAUCAAUGCAUAUUAUUGCCCUUCCACUAUGGUCUCUAAUGGGAUGGUCUCGAGUCACUGAUCACGAAGAUAGGAGUGACCCAUCAGUCGCCUCCACCAGGUCCAGUGUGAGUUUUGGCCAGAGAGGGAUCUGGAGGGUUUGGGCUGCCUUAGCAUCUAUAAAGUUGGCAGCAGCUAUCACAGCUAGCUGUGUGGGGGAUCUGCUAUGCCUGCCCCAAGACCCGCAACCCCAGCAGUAACUGGAAAUGUGGAGAGACACCUGCUUCCCAGGUUGGGUUCUACUUGAGGGUGAGGGAGAGGUUCUGGAGCUUGGAGCUCUGAUGGUGUCCAGGCUAUACCCCCCAGCUCCCUCCCAUGGAGGCCUGGGGUCAGGCCCCCCUUUCCCACGGGGGGGGGGUUGCAUAGGGCACCACAAUGUCAAAGGGUGGCCCUGCUACAGGCUUUGGCAUAGAGGGCAGGUGUGGGGACAUUGGGCGUUUCCCCCUGCUCACACAGCCAAGAGUCAAUGCACAGGGGGAGUUCAAUAAAGGCGCCUAGGUGUAUGGGGUUUUCAGUGCGGUUUAGAUCAUCUUUCACCUCCUCAUUGAGUCCCUACCGGAACUGAUACAGUUGGGCUGCCUCAUUCCAUUCCAUAUCAGCCACAGGCCAUUGGAAGUGAGUGGUGUAGGAGGCGAAACUUCCAGAGGGCAGCCCCUGUAGAGUGGAUGUGAUGUGGGUCAUCGAAGAUGGUCACAAAGGCUUGGAGGAAGGUGUCCCAGUCAGAGAGCACUGGAUUGUUCUGCUCCAAUGGGGGAGGCCCAAUCAAGCCCUUUUCUGGAGAGUAGGCUGACUACUAGCCCCACCUUAGUCCUGUGUGUGGGGUACGUUCGGGGGUGGAGCAGGAACAGCAGCCUGCAUUGGUUCAGGAACGCUUGAAAUUUCCUUCGAUGCCCCUCGAAGCAUUUGGGCAGUGACACUGCAGGAGCUGCUGCAGGUGAUGGUGCUCUGUUCUGGCGUGUAGUGUUGCUGCUUCUCCCCGUGAGCAUGCUCGGUGCUCUCACAGGGUCUGUCCUUCGGCAGUGAGCUGCGCCACCUGGGCCUACGACCAGGUUAACCGCUCGUGCUGUGUCUGUGCUUUGAGUGCACCCAGGAUGGCUUGGGUCUGUAGUGCCAGGCACUCUGCCUGCAAACAGAUGACUUGGUCUUGCAGGUUCUGGGCCCUAGAGGAGCCACUGGUCAUAUAGGACAGCCCGCCCACUCCAUCGUCUGUGGAGGGGUUGGAUAUGUUUGGGAGGGGCCAGGGUUGGUCUGAGCAAGCAGUCAGGGCUGAGCCAUGGGCAGCCUGUGUACAGGUGUGAUGGGUUCAGUCACAGAGACCACCUUGGCACUGUCACCUGAUAUGCUGAGAUUACCUCUGAGCCCGUUUUCCCGGCCAGCUUGGGACUCCAGAACCCUGCCUUGUUGAGCCAGACAUGCUAGCCUGCUGCAACACAGACCCAGGUCUGGUCCACAUUCCCAAAGCUGCAGACUUUCACCAAAAACUGCUCAGCAGGUCACUUAUCUCCAGCACCCAGACACCCAGUUCCCAAUGGGAUCCAAAUCCCAAAUAAAUCCGUUUUACUCUGUAUAAAGCUUAUACAGGGUAAAUUUAUAAAUAGUCUGCCCUCUAUAACACUGAUAGAGAGAUAUGCACAGCUGUUUGCUCUCCCCGGUAUUAAUCACUUACUCUGGGUUUACUAAUAAACAAGUGAUUUUAUUCAGUAUAAGAAGUAGGAUUUAAGUGAUUUCAAGUAAUAACAGACAGAACAAAGUAAGUUAUCAAGAAAAAUAAAACAAAACACGCAAGUCUUAGCCUAAUACAUUAAGAAACUGAAUACAGGUAAAUCUCACCCUCAGAGAUGUUCCAAUAAGCUUCUUUUACAGACUGGACUCCUUCCUAGUCUAGGCCCAAUCCUUCCCCCAGGUGCAGACCUUGUUAGUUCCAGCUCAGGAUUAGGGGAUUUCUCAUGACUGGCAGCCCCUUUUGUUCUGUUCCACCCCCUUUUAUAGCUUUGGCACAAGGCAGGAAUCUUUUGUCUCUCUGGGUUUCCACCCUUCCUGCUAAAUGGAAAAGCAUCAGGUUUCAGAUGAAUUCCAGUACAGGUGACAUGAUCACAUCACUGUAAGACCUCAUUCUCCAUUCUUUCAGGGGUGGCCUGCACGUACCCAGGAAGCUUUGCAAGUAAACAGAGCCAUUCACAACCAGUUGUUCCAGUUGAUGGCAGCCAUCAAGAUUCCAAGCCACCAUUAAUGGCCUACACUUUGCAUAGUUACAAUAGGACUUCAGAGUAAUACUUCUAUUUCUAGCUUCAGAUACAAGAAUGAUACAUUCAUACACAUAGGAUGAAAACAAUCAGUAGAUUAUAAGCUUUGUAAUGAUACCUUACAAGAGACCUUUUGCAUAAAGCAUAUUCCUGUUACAUUAUAUUUACACUCAUAAGCAUAUUUCCCCCAAAAAUAUGAAAUGCAACAUCACAACAGGGGUCAGCUGUUAAGUUGCAGUGAGGAGAUGAGUAGUGGGGUCAGGAGCCAGCUGGGUCAAAACGCCAGGAAGUCAGGGUCAGGCCCCAAGUUGCAGGCGGCAGAUGAAUAGCAGAGCCAGGAUUAAGCCAGGUCAGAAAGUCGGGGUCAGGUGCUAGGCUAUAGACAGCAAGCAAAUACAAAGUCAGGGACAAAGCAGGGUCAGAAGUCGGAGUCUAGGGCCUACAGCAAGCACAGCCUGUGUGGUUGCUUAGACAGCUCCCCAUGAUGGUUUCCUGGUUUAAAUACUAGCAUCAGCCAAUGCUUGGGCUGUGAGGGGCCGCCACUCAGGCCCUGCUGGGCAUUACUUCCUGCAGAGCCUAGUUUCAUAGGGUCCUCCAGCAGAAACCCAGCAGAAGCAUCAGCAGCCCAGAACCACAUAGUCCUAUAAUCUAAUCACACAGAGUCUCACACCUAUCCCCAGCCCCAGCUCCACCACCCCACGGCCAUCCUCUGUCUAUCCCUCCCCCAGUUCUCCUGCUAAAGCUGUUGUGACUUUCCCGUGGAGGGAGCCGGGGGAUGCAACUGGGCUGCAAUUCAGCAAACAUGAGCACCCUACCCCUGGUUGGGGCAGCUGGAGCUCAGUGCUAUUCCUGGCUGCAGUGUGGAGGAAGAUGGGCGGUUAAUGCGCCAUGCAGAAUAGGGGUGGGGUGCUCACUUUUCUGUUGCAUGUCACAGACUCCACGAGAGCCACCAACACCCAUUUAAAAAUCCAGAGUUUGGUAUAUCCCACACUCCGCCUCUGCCAAGCUCUGCCUACAUGAGAUGCUGCUCCCAGCAGGUUGUGCCGAUAUUGGUUCUGUCAUGUCAUGCUCAGUUGGGGCUCCCUGUGGCCGGGCUGACAUUAGGCCUUGCAGGGCUCUGCACAGGCCCCAGGGUCUUGCAGUGACAGCAGGAUCUCAGCUGUCCUUUAAAAACAUGUGUCUAGCCCUUGUGGUUCACUACUCUGGGUCAGCCACUCUUGUCAGGCCUGCCAUGCUCAGUGUACCCUGUGACGGGUUGUCCCCCCUUCCGCAGUGCCACUUUAUGUACUGGGGUUCCACUGAGCCCACCUGUUCCACCAGACUGGGCUCCCUCACCCUGUCCUGCUGCACACACACACAGGUAGGGACACACCCAGCUGCAGAAUGACACCAAUACUGAAAUCAGUGCUGCAUAGGAAGGCUUUCAGCUAGAGAAUUGCCCAGCACUCAAGUGCACACUCUCUCUGGAGUGUAAACCCAAAAUUAUAUUGUCUUGCACUGCACAGAAAUCUAUACAUCAUCAGCUCAUGAAAUCUGCCCCCUCCCUCAGUGUGGAGGAAGAUACGUACAGCUUUUUGCCCCCCCCAGUUUGAAUUACACAAACUAGUUUUGGAAUAAACAAAAACAAGUUUAUUAACUACAAAAGGUAGAUUUUAAGUGUUUAUAGGGGACAGCAAACAGAUCAAAGCAGAUUCCUGAGCAAAUAAAACAAAACACACAAACUAAGCUUAAUACACAAAAUUAACUGGUUAAUAGUAGAAAAUUCUCACUCCAAGUGUUGUUUCAAGCAGGUUGCAGAGUUUCUUGAACGUAAACUGCACAGUUUGCAGCUUAAAUCUCCACGUAUUCCUUUCAUAGGCUAGAUCUUUCUCACCUGGGCUCAGCCCCUCCCAUCCAGUUUAGUUCCUUUGUUUCUUCAGGUGUUUUCAGCAGUCUUCCUUCUGGGGCAGGGAGGCAGUGGAGAAGAAUUACCUCACUACCCUGCCUUAAAUAGGAUUUACAUAUAGCAGGAAUCCUUUGUUUCCCAGUUUGACUCCCACCCCCUCUUGAUGGAAAAACACUAGAAGUCCAAGAUGGUGUCCAGUACCAGGUGACAUGAUCACCAGACCCUGCAGUGUCAAAGCAGCAUCCCAGGAAACUUCUCAGGAAGGAGGGAGAUUAGCAUCUUCAAAUACCUAUUGUUCCCCCAAUGGCCCAUCCAAGCUGUUUGCAUACUGUCUGGUGAGCAUUCCCCAGGUGAAAACACAGUUGUAAUUGUUACAUAGUCAAUAUUCCUAACUUCAGAUAUAAAAAUGAUACAGGUAUACAAAUUGGAUAAUCACAUUCAGUAAAUCAUAAAGUUUCCAAUGAUACCUCACAUGACCAAUCUUGCAUAGAACAUAUUUUAGUUAUGCCAUAUUCAUAUCAUAAGCAUAUCUCUAUGAAGAAUAUGGGGCGUAGCGUCAAACACCCCACACACUAGGGUUAUUGUCUGUAUCUAAAAGGUGUCAUGUAACACGUCACUGGUAUAUGAAUAACUCACUGAUCAUUAAUAUUCAUGCACGAUGUAUGUACGGUUAACCCACAAAGGAUUAUACAGAUGUGCUGGAGUCAUGACUAAAAUGGGUUGAAACCAGGCAUGUCAGGAGUUAACAGGGUUGUUCCAGACAAAGGGCUGCAGCUUCGCCUGCUUGAAUGUGUCUCCUAUGUAAAUGGAGCAAGGUGGGACCAAAGACAAAGAAAAGAACAUUUGCAGGACAGGCAAACAAAGCCAUCAGGAGAGCAAGUGGGGAACAAGUGAUCACUUAACAAUCUCACUGGGGGAUGGAGACUGCACCCCAGGAAGCCUUCCUGCCUGAACUUGGAGAGAGAGAGACUUUCCAAAGGUUUUCCAGCCUAUAAAGAGAUGGGCAGAGAACCCUUAAGUUAUGCUUCAGCUGUGGCGACAAGGAAAAGCUGCUCCUUGAACUCUGUGGGGCUCAUGACUGAGAUCUAGUCAGCCACUGGUGGGAAAGGAAGAUCGGUGAGGAACCUGCCUUGCUAAGUUAAGUCUUAGCCAUUACAAAGCGUAUUUGUACUUUGGUUGUUCAUAACGUGUCCUGUCUUUAUUCCUUAGACUUGAACACAC